rnacentral:rRNA from 1 species
UUGGAGGGCAAGUCUGGUGCCAGCAGCCGCGGUAAUUCCAGCUCCAAUAGCGUAUAUUAAAGUUGUUGCAGUUAAAAAGCUCGUAGUCGAAUUUCGAGAUCAAUCUGUCGGUCGUGCUUCGGUACGUACUGGCAUUAUUGAUUUCUCCCUUCUGAAGAACCGCGAUGUCAUUAAUUUGGUGUCGUGGGGAAUCAGGACUGUUACUUUGAAAAAAUUAGAGUGUUUAAAGCAGGCUUACGCUUGAAUACAUUAGCAUGGAAUAAUGAAAUAGGACGUUUGAUUCUAUUUUGUUGGUUUCUAGGAUUGACGUAAUGAUUAAUAGGGAUAGUUGGGGGCAUUAGUAUUCAAUUGUCAGAGGUGAAAUUCUUGGAUUUAUUGAAGACUAACUACUGCGAAAGCAUUUGCCAAGGAUGUUUUCAUUAAUCAAGAACGAAAGUUAGGGGAUCGAAGACGAUCAGAUACCGUCGUAGUCUUAACCAUAAACUAUGCCGACUAGGGAUCGGAUGAUGUUAAUUUUUUAAUGACUCAUUCGGCGCCAUACGGGAAACCAAAGUGUUUGGGUUC